rnacentral:rRNA from 1 species
GAAAGGGGGCCGCCCCCUCGCCCUUCACGCAAGGAACGCACAUGUGUGGGGAACCCGGUGCUAAACCAUUCCUAGAGGACCUGCUUCUGGGUCGGGUUUUUGUACGUAGCAGAGCAGCUCUCUCGCUGCGAUCUGUUGAAAGUCAGCCCUUGACACGAGGGUUUGU